rnacentral:tRNA from 1 species
GGGUUGAUAGUUCAGUUAGUAGACCACCUUGACUAGUAUUUUAGAGGUCCUAGGUUUGAGUCUUGGUUGGUCCA